GGGGAAUCUUGCACAAUGCGCGAAAGCGUGAUGCAGCAACGCCGCGUGCGGGAAGAAGGCCUUAGGGUUGUAAACCGCUUUCAGUUGGGACGAAGCUUCAGGGGUUAAUAGCCUUUUGGAGUGACGGUAUCUUCAGAAGAAGCACCGGCUAACUACGUGCCAGCAGCCGCGGUAAUACGUAGGGUGCGAGCGUUGUCCGGAAUCAUUGGGCGUAAAGCGCGUGUAGGCGGCUGAGUAAGUCUGCUGUGAAAGUCCAGGGCUCAACCCUGGGAUGCGGCGGAUACUGCUCGGCUAGAGUACGGGAGGGGCGAGUGGAAUUCCUGGUGUAGCGGUGGAAUGCGCAGAUAUCAGGGGGAACACCUAUGGCGAAGGCAGCUCGCUGGAACGUGACUGACGCUGAGACGCGAAAGCGUGGGGAGCAAAC
rnacentral:rRNA from 1 species